GUUUAGCUGCAUAUGCCAAAACUGUUAGUGAUGUUUUCUUCAUGCAACUAAAUUGCUUCUUGGGUUCAAAUUUGAAUUUAGGACUUUUGAUGGAUCGUCUCCCCAUCUAGAAGAAAUUAUUGACAUUAUGAUAAAGGGGGAUAAGAAGAAACUUUGAAAUGGUUGAUUCAAAUUUCCACUCCUGGAGAUAAUAGUUCCCUUUAUUAAUCCACUGUUGAUCAUAAUGUCUAGGAAGAAAUUGAUGAUUCUCAAUGCCAUGAAGUUGAACUUAGUAUGCUGGAAUGGAAACCUGUUUUGAGCAAGACAAGGGUUGUUGUCAAGAUUUAAUUACUAUUAAAAGGGGAAAAAGGAACCCGUAGGUUAAUGUGCGAGUUAUACUUUAACUCCCACUUCAAUAACAGGCAUGAUUAAAUGGA
rnacentral:misc_RNA from 1 species